ensembl:lncRNA
UGAUAACAUACGACUGUUUGUGUGUUUGUGUGUUUGCAGGUGUGUAUGUGUGUGCGUCUGUGUGUGUGUGUGUGUGUGUGUGUGUGUGUGGGUUUGUGUGUGUGUGUGUGUGUGUGUGUGUGUGUGUGUGUGUGUGUGUGUGUGUGUGUGUGUGUGUGUGUGUGUGUGUGUGUGUGUGUGUGUGUGUGUGUGUGUGUGUGUGUGUGUGUGAGUGUGUGUGUGUGUGUGUGUGUGUGUGUGUGUGUGUGUGUGUGUGUGUGUGUGUGUGUGUGUGUGUGUGUGUGUGUGUGUGUGUGUGUGUGUGUGUGUGUGCGUGCGUGUGUGUGUG